rnacentral:rRNA from 1 species
UACGUAGGGGGCAAGCGUUGUCCGGAAUCAUUGGGCGUAAAGAGCGUGUAGGCGGCCCGGUAAGUCCGCUGUGAAAGUCCAGGGCUCAACCCUGGGAUGCCGGUGGAUACUGUCGGGCUCGAGUCCGGAAGAGGAGUGUGGAAUUCCUGGUGUAGCGGUGAAAUGCGCAGAUAUCAGGAGGAACACCAAUGGCGAAGGCAGCACUCUGGGCCGAUACUGACACUGAGGAGCGAAAGCGUGGGGAGCGAACAGG